ACACCUGUGGGAAUGUGUGUAUAUAUGGGUCUAAAGCUACCAUUCCUUCACCCAUCCCCAAGUUGUAUCUCUUCCAAUAAGCUCACCGUCAAGUUCUGCAAUUCAUAGGCCUCCUGCUGCAGCCAUGAGUGAGAUCAAAUAUGGCUACCCUUAUCCUCCUCAAGGUCCUUAUCAGGGGCCACCGCCGGUGGCGGCACCGCCGCAGUAUUACGCUGAGCAACCACAGCCAAAAAAUCGGCCAGAGCGUGGAUUCCUUGAGGGUUGCUUAGCAGCUCUGUGUUGUUGUUGCCUCUUGGACGAGUGCUGCUGCGACCCAACAAUUAUUUGUGAUUGCUGAUGUGCCUUUAAGCAACACAUACACACAUCUUCAUAGGCUCUUUGUCGGGGAUCCCAAUUUUACUAAAUACUGAAUAACUAUUUUAUGUUAUUGUUGACUUUAUGCCCUACUACAUAUGUUUCUUUAUUAAUUAUAUCGUUGACGAUUGUAUUGUAUGGAUGUAUUUUAGAAUGUUCAUUAACAUGUAUAUUUUGUUGGUGUCUCCUAAA